CCUACGGGGGGCUGCAGUGGGGAAUAUUGGACAAUGGGCGAAAGCCUGAUCCAGCAAUGCCGCGUGGAUGAAGAAGGUCUUCGGAUUGUAAAGUCCUUUCGGCGGGGACGAUGAUGACGGUACCCGCAGAAGAAGCCCCGGCUAACUUCGUGCCAGCAGCCGCGGUAAUACGAAGGGGGCUAGCGUUGCUCGGAAUUACUGGGCGUAAAGGGCGCGUAGGCGGACCACUCAGUCAGGCGUGAAAGCCCCGGGCUCAACCUGGGAACUGCGCUUGAGACUUGUGGUCUUGAGGGCGAGAGAGGGUGGUGGAAUUCCCAGUGUAGAGGUGAAAUUCGUAGAUAUUGGGAAGAACACCGGUGGCGAAGGCGGCCACCUGGCUCGCAUCUGACGCUGAGGCGCGAAAGCGUGGGGAGCAAACAGGAUUAGAUACCCUAGUAGUC
rnacentral:rRNA from 1 species